rnacentral:rRNA from 1 species
AGCGAACGCUGGCGGCAGGCCUAACACAUGCAAGUCCAACGAACCUUUCGGGGUUAGUGGCGGACGGGUGAGUAACACGUGGGAACGUGCCUUUAGGUUCGGAAUAACUCAGGGAAACUUGUGCUAAUACCGAAUGUGCCCUUCGGGGGAAAGAUUUAUCGCCUUUAGAGCGGCCCGCGCCUGAUUAGCUAGUUGGUUGAGGUAAUGGCUCACCAAGGCGACGAUCAGUAGCUGGUCUGAGAGGAUGAUCAGCCACAUUGGGACUGAGACACGGCCCAAACUCCUACGGGAGGCAGCAGUGGGGAAUCUUGCGCAAUGGGCGAAAGCCUGACGCAGCCAUGCCGCGUGAAUGAUGAAGGUCUUAGGAUUGUAAAAUUCUUUCACCGGGGACGAUAAUGACGGUACCCGGAGAAGAAGCCCCGGCUAACUUCGUG